UCAUUGAGCUAAUAUACUGUUU
rnacentral:miRNA from 1 species